GACGUAGGGCGCGAGCGUUGUCCGGAUUUAUUGGGCGUAAAGAGCUCGUAGGCGGCUUGUCGCGUCGUCCGUGAAAACCUGCAGCUCAACUGCAGGCUUGCGGUCGAUACGGGCAGGCUAGAGUUCGGUAGGGGAGACUGGAAUUCCUGGUGUAGCGGUGAAAUGCGCAGAUAUCAGGAGGAACACCGGUGGCGAAGGCGGGUCUCUGGACAGUUCCUGACACUGAGGCACGAAGGCCAGGGGAGCAAGCGGG
rnacentral:rRNA from 1 species